UACAGAGGGUGCAAGCGUUGUUCGGAGUUAUUGGGCGUAAAGGGCGCGUAGGCGGUGCGGUAAGUCUGCGGUGAAAUCUCCCGGCUCAACUGGGAGGCUGCCGUGGAAACUGCCGUGCUUGAGUGUGGGAGAGGUGAGUGGAAUUCCCGGUGUAGCGGUGAAAUGCGCAGAUAUCAGGAGGAACACCAGUGGCGAAGGCGGUGCUCUGGGCCGGAACUGACGCUGAGGAGCGAAAGCGUGGGGAGCAAACAGG
rnacentral:rRNA from 1 species